rnacentral:rRNA from 1 species
GUGGGGAAUAUUGGACAAUGGGCGAAAGCCUGAUCCAGCAAUGCCGCGUGAGUGAUGAAGGCCUUAGGGUUGUAAAGCUCUUUUACCCGGGAUGAUAAUGACAGUACCGGGAGAAUAAGCUCCGGCUAACUCCGUGCCAGCAGCCGCGGUAAUACGGAGGGAGCUAGCGUUGUUCGGAAUUACUGGGCGUAAAGCGCACGUAGUCGGCUUUGUAAGUUAGAGGUGAAAGCCUGGAGCUUAACUCCAGAACUGCCUUUAAGACUGCAUCGCUUGAAUCCAGGAGAGGUGAGUGGAAUUCCGAGUGUAGAGGUGAAAUUCGUAGAUAUUCGGAAGAACACCAGUGGCGAAGGCGGCUCACUGGACUGGUAUUGACGCUGAGGUGCGAAAGCGUGGGGAGCAAACAGGAUUAGAAACCCCUGUAGUCC